GCACAUUUUGCUCAAUGAGUCAAAAACCAUAGAGUUAAUGAAUAUCCAAAAUAGUAAUGUUCCCUACAAGCUAAACAUUUAGAUACCAAGGUUGCUGAAAUCGAAGUUUUUGUGCCAAAAUCAGUUGAUUAGAAGCUUGAGAAACUCUUGAUUUGAAGUUGACACAUUGCAUAUGGAGCAUCUUUGCAAUUCUGUACGAUUUAUUUUUUAUUUUUUUUUUGCAGGGUGUUUCCCCCCCUACGUUUGUCACUGUGUCUUCCCUGGACAUUAAGUGUAUAAAUGUGUGGUGGUGCAGGUUUCUCCUCCAUCCUUCAUUUUACCGCUGACAGCAGAGAUAAAUGCAGGAAGAAAGCUUGGCCACCGCACAAAGAAAAGGCCCCCGGGACGACACGUGGUCACAUUUUCCCUCCUGACCAGACACCAAUUUUCCCCAAUCGCCCUUGGAGUACCAAACCAUGGCGGAAUGUGAGAGGCAAAAGAGCAUGGAAUUAUCCUGUCUACAUUACAGAGCAAACUGGAUGUUUAUCAAGCUCAGACAUCGGAAGGAAUUUUCGGUGGUA